rnacentral:rRNA from 1 species
AGCGAACGCUGGCGGCAGGCCUAACACAUGUAAGUCGAACGAACCUUUCGGGGUUAGUGGCGGACGGGUGAGUAACACGUGGGAACGUGCCUUUAGGUUCGGAAUAACUCAGGGAAACUUGUGCUAAUACCGAAUGUGCCCUUCGGGGGAAAGAUUUAUCGCCUUUAGAGCGGCCCGCGUCUGAUUAGCUAGUUGGUUGAGGUAAUGGCUCACCAAGGCGACGAUCAGUAGCUGGUCUGAGAGGAUGAUCAGCCACAUUGGGACUGAGACACGGCCCAAACUCCUACGGGAGGCAGCAGUGGGGAAUCUUGCGCAAUGGGCGAAAGCCUGACGCAGCCAUGCCGCGUGAAUGAUGAAGGUCUUAGGAUUGUAAAAUUCUUUCACCGGGGACGAUAAUGACGGUACCCGGAGAAGAAGCCCCGGCUAACUUCGUG